UCUCCCCAGAGUAAGUAACUGUAGAUAUUUUUUCUGUUAUCACAGAAAAGAAACCUUUUGCAUAUCUCUUAAUCACCAUCACUCUCUUUCAUCUGGUAGCACGGUUUUGUGAGCAACUGCGUACAGAGGAUUGAUGUGUUAAGGUCAGUGAAGUCACAAGAACGGAAAACAACCAGUGGUUGUCAAAGAUUGGUGGGUGUACAACAGCCAGGCCCCACAGCAAAGGGGACAAGCUGAAGCUCUGGACCAUCACAUGAGCCAAAUGAAGACCUUCCACCAGCACUGCCUUUCCCAUGGUGAGUGCAUGGCACUGCAGGGAGGCUGGAGUGGGGGAUCCAGCC
rnacentral:lncRNA from 1 species